UACGUAGGGUGCAAGCGUUGUCCGGAAUUAUUGGGCGUAAAGAGCUCGUAGGCGGUUUGUCGCGUCUGCUGUGAAAACUCAGGGCUUAACCCUGAGCCUGCAGUGGGUACGGGCAGACUAGAGUGUGGUAGGGGGAGAUCGGAAUUCCUGGUGUAGCGGUGGAAUGCGCAGAUAUCAGGAGGAACACCGGUGGCGAAGGCGGGUCUCUGGGCCGAUACUGACGCUGAGGAGCGAAAGCGUGGGGAGCGAACAGG
rnacentral:rRNA from 1 species